CCGGGCGUAGCGCAGAGGCAGUCGCGCCGUCCUGCACAGACGGAUACGCCGGUUCGAAUCCGGUCGCCCGGA
rnacentral:tRNA from 1 species